CGCUCCCGCCAGGCUGGUCUCGAGGUGAGGCGGGUGCGUUCCCCCGUUGCUCCUUCGUCAUGCUCCUGUUUGAACUUUGGUUUGUUUUCAGUUUUGUGUUUCAGUAGCUGCCGCCCUUGUUCUCUUCCCACCUCUGCUAAGCAGGGUGGUGGGCGUGGUCAAGUGGUGACAGGCGACGCCAGGGAAAAUGGGCUUACUUCUUCCUGCUGGAGUCAUGGCUGUCUUGUGCCUGAGGAAGUUAUGCUCUUAGUCAGCAGUCACUUGUGGACCCUCAUUGGCUAAGAUUCCAGCAGGUCAGCUGAGAUUCAUUCUGGAUGAGGACUCAGAGGCAUCCAUUCUGAGGAAACAGGACCAGCUGAGGAACUGACGAGAUGGAAAAGGGGAAGUGCUGUGGGAUGUUGCUCCCAUUGGUUAAUAAAGAAGCUACUUGGCCUAUGGCAAGACAGGUUAUAGCCAGGAGGGAAAUACAAGCAAAGAUACAGGGAGAAGAAAGGUGGAGUUGGAGGAGAUGCUGAGCGCUACCGGGGAGCAAGAUGUAAUGGAACACAGCUGCAUCUUCCUGCCAGAAUAUUCCCGAGCACCAGCCAGGGAUUUAAAAUGAGCUUUCAAUGCAUCAGGGGACCAAGUACUACAGAGGACUUCCACCUACUCCUGUACUUUCCCUCUCACUUCUGUCUUGGAAUUCUGUGUUAUCAGAGCAGUCAGGGCCCCAGCCUGGGCCCCAGCAGCCCUACGAGAGUGGCUCUGACCCCAUCCUCCACAGGCCACUUCCACAAAGACUCAUGAGAUAAGGGAAAGGAGAUUUACUCAAUGUGGUCACUUUGGGAAGAGGAACAAAUAAAGAAAUCUAGUUACACUUCU